UGACCUAGCGGCGGACGGGUGAGUAAUACUUAGGAAUCUGCCUAUUAAUGGGGGACAACAUCUCGAAAGGGAUGCUAAUACCGCAUACGCCCUACGGGGGAAAGCAGGGGAUCACUUGUGACCUUGCGUUAAUAGAUGAGCCUAAGUCGGAUUAGCUAGUUGGUGGGGUAAAGGCCUACCAAGGCGACGAUCUGUAGCGGGUCUGAGAGGAUGAUCCGCCACACUGGGACUGAGACACGGCCCAGACUCCUACGGGAGGCAGCAGUGGGGAAUAUUGGACAAUGGGGGGAACCCUGAUCCAGCCAUGCCGCGUGUGUGAAGAAGGCCUUAUGGUUGUAAAGCACUUUAAGCGAGGAGGAGGCUCUUUUGGUUAAUACCCAAGAUGAGUGGACGUUACUCGCAGAAUAAGCACCGGCUAACUCUGUGCCAGCAGCCGCGGUAAUACAGAGGGUGCGAGCGUUAAUCGGAUUUACUGGGCGUAAAGCGUGCGUAGGCGGCUUUUUAAGUCGGAUGUGAAAUCCCCGAGCUUAACUUGGGAAUUGCAUUCGAUACUGGGAAGCUAGAGUAUGGGAGAGGAUGGUAGAAUUCCAGGUGUAGCGGUGAAAUGCGUAGAGAUCUGGAGGAAUACCGAUGGCGAAGGCAGCCAUCUGGCCUAAUACUGACGCUGAGGUACGAAAGCAUGGGGAGCAAACAGGAUUAGAUACCCUGGUAGUCCAUGCCGUAAACGAUGUCUACUAGCCGUUGGGGUCUUUGAGACUUUAGUGGCGCAGCUAACGCGAUAAGUAGACCGCCUGGGGGAGUACGGUCGCAAGACUAAAACUCAAAUGAAUUGACGGGGGGCCCGCACAAGCGGUGGAGCAUGUGGUUUAAUUCGAUGCACGCGAAGAACCUUACCUGGUCUUGACAUAGUAAGAACUUCCAAGAUGGAUGGUGCCUUC
rnacentral:rRNA from 1 species